AACGAACGCUGGCGGCAUGCCUAACACAUGCAAGUCGAACGAGACCAAGGCUUCGGCCUGAAGUCUAGUGGCGCACGGGUGCGUAACGCGUGGGAAUCUACCCUUGGGUUCGGAAUAACAGUUAGAAAUGACUGCUAAUACCGGAUGAUGACGUAAGUCCAAAGAUUUAUCGCCCAGGGAUGAGCCCGCGUAAGAUUAGCUUGUUGGUGAGGUAAAGGCUCACCAAGGCGACGAUCUUUAGCUGGUCUGAGAGGAUGAUCAGCCACACU
rnacentral:rRNA from 1 species